UACGUAGGGGGCUAGCGUUGUCCGGAAUCAUUGGGCGUAAAGAGCGUGUAGGCGGCCCGGUAAGUCCGCUGUAAAAGUCAAAGGCUCAACCUUUGAAUGUCAGUGGAUACUGCCGGGCUAGAGUCCGGAAGAGGCGAGUGGAACUCCUGGUGUAGCGGUGAAAUGCGCAGAUAUCAGGAAGAACACCGGUGGCGAAGGCGGGUCUCUGGGCCGAUACUGACGCUGAGGAGCGAAAGCGUGGGGAGCGAACAGG
rnacentral:rRNA from 1 species